rnacentral:rRNA from 1 species
UUCAUCAUAGCAAACUGCGAAUACCGAAGCGUGUAAUCACAGGAGACAGAUGCCGGGUGCUAACGUCCGGUGUCAAGAGGGAAACAACCCAGACCGCCAGCUAAGGUCCCAAAGAGUGGCUCAGUGGGAAACGAAGUGGGAAGGCAAAAACAGUCAGGAGGUUGGCUUAGAAGCAGCCAUCCUUUAAAGAAAGCGUAAUAGCUCACUGAUCGAGUCGUCCUGCGCGGAAGAUGUAACGGGGCUAAGUCACUCACCGAAGCUGCGGGUCUUAGGAUUCAAAUCUUAAGACGGUAGGAGAGCGUUCCGUAAGCCAAAGAAGGUGUCCUGAGAAGGAGGCUGGAGGUAUCGGAAGUGCGAAUGCUGACAUGAGUAGCGAUAAAGAGGGUGAAAGGCCCUCUCGCCGUAAGCCCAAGGUUUCCUACGCAACGUUCAUCGGCGUAGGGUGAGUCGGCCCCUAAGGUGAGGCAGAAAUGCGUAGCUGAUGGGAAGCAGG